CCUACGGGCGGCUGCAGUGGGGAAUAUUGGACAAUGGGCGAAAGCCUGAUCCAGCCAUGCCGCGUGUGUGAAGAAGGCCUUCGGGUUGUAAAGCACUUUCAGUGGGGAAGAAAGCCUUGGGGCUAAUACCCUCGAGGAAGGACAUCACCCACAGAAGAAGCACCGGCUAACUCCGUGCCAGCAGCCGCGGUAAUACGGAGGGUGCGAGCGUUAAUCGGAAUUACUGGGCGUAAAGCGCGCGUAGGCGGUCUGAUAAGCCGGUUGUGAAAGCCCCGGGCUCAACCUGGGAACGGCAUCCGGAACUGUCAGGCUAGAGUGCAGGAGAGGAAGGUAGAAUUCCCGGUGUAGCGGUGAAAUGCGUAGAGAUCGGGAGGAAUACCAGUGGCGAAGGCGACCUUCUGGACUGACACUGACGCUGAGGUGCGAAAGCGUGGGUAGCAAACAGGAUUAGAUACCCCGGUAGUC
rnacentral:rRNA from 1 species